rnacentral:rRNA from 1 species
GAUGAACGCUGGCGGCGUGCCUAAUACAUGCAAGUCGAGCGAACAGACGAGGAGCUUGCUCCUCUGACGUUAGCGGCGGACGGGUGAGUAACACGUGGAUAACCCACCUAUAAGACUGGGAUAACUUCGGGAAACCGGAGCUAAUACCGGAUAAUAUAUUGAACCGCAUGGUUCAAUAGUGAAAGACGGUUUUGCUGUCACUUAUAGAUGGAUCCGCGCCGCAUUAGCUAGUUGGUAAGGUAACGGCUUACCAAGGCGACGAUGCGUAGCCGACCUGAGAGGGGGAUCGGCCACACUGGAACUGAGACACGGUCCAGACUCCUACGGGAGGCAGCAGUAGGGAAUCUUCCGCAGUGGGCGAAAGCCUGACGGAGCAACGCCGCGUGAGUGACAAAGGUCUUCGGAUCGUAAAACUCUGUUAUUAGGGAAAAACAAAUGUGUAAGUAAAUAUGCACGUCUUGACGGUACCUAAUCAGAAAGCCACGGCUAACUACGUG